rnacentral:tRNA from 1 species
GCGGUCGUGGUGGAAUUGGUAGACACGCUAUCUUGAGGGGGUAGUGCCUUCCGGGUGUACGAGUUCGAGUCUCGUCGACCGCACCA